AGAUACCCUACUAUGCCUAAGCCCUAAACACCUCAUCCGCCAGAAGACAACGAGCAAAGCUUAAAACUCAAAGGACUUGGCGGCACCCCAUACCACCCUAGAGGGGCCUGUCAUAUAAUCGAUAACCCACGAUGAACCCAACCCCCCUUAGCCGACUCAGCCUAUAUACCGCCGUCGCCAGCCCAUCUUAAAAAGAAGCGCAAUGGACAGAAUAGUCUUGCACUAACACGACAGGUCAAGGUGUAGCCCAUGGGAGGGAACUGAUGGACCACAUUGCUGUCAAAAGCCAAACCAAAAUUACACUGAAAAAAUAAUUUAAGGUGAAUUUAGCAGUAAAAAGAACAAGAAAAUUUAUCUGAAAAAUGCCCUGGAGUGUGCACACACCGCCCGUCAC
rnacentral:rRNA from 1 species